ACUGUUAUUGAUACUCCUCCUAUUAAUGGCAUUCAGUCUUGGUACAACUAUAAAUUCAAGUACAACUACUGCUAAGGCUGCAACCGUAACAUCUGCUACUGCAGCAGAUACCACUACUGCAUCAUCUACCACUGCUGCAUCAUCUACCACCGCUACAUCAGCUACCACUGCUGCACCUACCACCGCUGCAUCAGCUACCACUGCUCCAACUACCACAACUAGUGAUUAUGGCAAAAGACAAUAAGAUAUUUUGUGUGUACCCAACGUUUGUUUCUUGUACUUAAAUAAUUAUCAAUCUGUAAUCUUUCAUCUUUUAUCUGCACAAAUUAAACGAGAUGUGUGGAAUUCCUAAAAGAGACAACAUUAUACGAGGUUUUGGUUGGGGUAUACAGAAGAGACAACACACGCAUACAGUGGAUGCCCAGAAAUAAAGAAUAAAGAAAAAAGAAAGAAUAAGGGUGCUGAAAUAUAAAGAAUAUAUUAUAGUGAACAAAACAACUGAUAAAAGAAAAGCUGGCUUAAAAAAUACAUGAAUAAAGAAAUGAAGACCCCAUCCAGGCUGACAAAAAUGAAAACAAAAGAUAUCUAUAGGGCUUUAAACAGACUUUAAAAAUAGACAUUCAUCCACAUAAUAUGUCAAUCUUUAAAUCUUCCCGAGUCUAUACAAGUUUUGAAUAAA